rnacentral:rRNA from 1 species
ACUCCUACGGGAGGCAGCAGUGGGGAAUUUUCCGCAAUGGGCGAAAGCCUGACGGAGCAAUACCGCGUGAGGGAGGAAGGCUCUUGGGUUGUAAACCUCUUUUAUCAGGGAAGAAGAAAGUGACGGUACCUGAGGAAUAAGCAUCGGCUAACU